rnacentral:rRNA from 1 species
AGAGUUUGAUCAUGGCUCAGGAUGAACGCUGGCGGCGUGCCUAACACAUGCAAGUCGCACGGGACCUUUGGGUCCAGUGGCGAACGGGUGCGUAACACGUAGACAACCUGCCCCGGAGCGGGGAAUAACCACUGGAAACGGUGGCUAAUACCCCGUACGCUCGGCAACGAGGAAAGGCGCAAGUCGCUCUGGGAGGGGUCUGCGGCCUAUCAGCUGGUUGGUGAGGUCACGGCUCACCAAGGCGAUGACGGGUAGCUGGCCUGAGAGGGUGGCCAGCCACAUGGGGACUGAGAGACGGCCCCAACUCCUACGGGAGGCAGCAGUGAGGAAUAUUGCUCAAUGGGGGAAACCCUGAGGCAGCAACGCCGCGUGGAGGAUGAGGUCCUUCGGGAUGUAAACUCCUUUUCAGGGGGAGCAGCAAGGAGCGUACCCCUGGAAGAAGUCACGGCUAACUACGUGCCAGCAGCCGCGGUAACACGUAGGUGACAAGCGUUAUCCGGAUUUACUGGGCGUAAAGGGUCCGUAGGUGGUCAGGCAGGUCUGGUGUGAAAUCCCCCGGCUCAACUGGGGGGGGCCACUGGAAACCGUCUGAGUUGAGUCACACAGAGGUCACUCGAAUUCCCGGUGUAGUGGUGGAAUGCGUAGAGAUCGGGAGGAAGACCAGAGGCGCAAGCGGGUGACUGGGUGCUGACUGACACUGAGGGACGAAAGCGUGGGGAGCGAACAGGAUUAGAUACCCCGGUAGUCC